rnacentral:rRNA from 1 species
GUAAAACUAUAUGAAUACUUAAUUCAAAAUACAACUUUCAACAACGGAUCUCUUGGCUCUCGCAUCGAUGGAAGAACGCAGCGAAAUGCGAUACGUAAUGUGAAUUGCAGAAUUCAGUGAAUCAUCGAAUCUUUGAACGCACAUUGCACUCUCUGGUAUUCCGGAGAGUAUGCUUGUUUGAGUAUCAGUAAACACCUCAAAUCUCUACAUUCGUGUGGAGAAUUGGACUUGAGCGAUCCCAACUCUUUGCAAAAAGAGGCGGGUUGCUUGAAAUGCAGGUGCAGCUGGACAUUCUUCUGAGCUAAAAGCAUAUUUAUUUAGUCCCGUCAAACGGAUUAUUACUUUUUGCUCUAGCUAAUAUAAAGGAAGAUUGUUCUCUAUGCUGACUGAUGCAGGAUUAACAGGACUAUCUCACGAUAGACUUGUAAACUCGAUCUCAAAUCAAGUAAGACUACCCGCUGAACUUAA